UUUAAAUAUAUAUGCAUUAAGAUUAGAUGAUCUAUCUCAGCUGGAUAUUAUGUAAAACUAUACGAGUGAACUUGUAAAAAUGAAUACCGAAACUUCGAAUUCGUUAUUUAUAGUCAUGACUAAAAUAAAUAAUAAUUACAUAGUUCAUGCCAUAGUAUAACUAUGUUCACGUAGGUUUUGACUGGGUGAGGUAAUUAUAUUCAGAGUACUGUUCUUAGAAAGUAAUCGGUUUAAAAAAUUUGUCAUUUUUUUUCAAAUUAAUUUACCAAUCUUUUUUUGUAUUAUGCUAAAAAGAGCUAUUUUAAAAUAAAUUCAGGGAGAGGUUA